rnacentral:rRNA from 1 species
CAGUAGCCGCGGUAAUACGUAGGGUGCGAGCGUUAAUCGGAAUUACUGGGCGUAAAGCGUGCGCAGGCGGUUUUGUAAGACAGGCGUGAAAUCCCCGGGCUCAACCUGGGAAUGGCGCUUGUGACUGCAAAGCUAGAGUGCGGCAGAGGGGGAUGGAAUUCCGCGUGUAGCAGUGAAAUGCGUAGAUAUGCGGAGGAACACCGAUGGCGAAGGCAAUCCCCUGGGCCUGCACUGACGCUCAUGCACGAAAGCGUGGGGAGCAAACAGGAUUAGAUACCCCUGUAGUCCCUGUCUCUUAUAC